rnacentral:rRNA from 1 species
GACGAACGCUGGCGGCGUGCUUAACACAUGCAAGUCGAACGGAAAGGCCCUGCUUGCAGGGUACUCGAGUGGCGAACGGGUGAGUAACACGUGGGUGAUCUGCCCUGCACUUCGGGAUAAGCCUGGGAAACUGGGUCUAAUACCGGAUAGGAGCCAUUUUUAGUGUGAUGGUUGGAAAGUUUUUUCUGUGUAGGAUGAGCUUGCGGCCUAUCAGCUUGUUGGUGGGGUAAGGGCCUACCAAGGCGGAGGCGGGUAGCCGGCCUGGGAGGGUGGACGGCCACAGUGAGACUGAGACUCAGACCAGACUCAGACGGGAGGGAGAAGUAGGGGAGAGGGAUAUAGGGGAGCAGGCCUGAGGCAGCGACGGCGCGGGCGGGAGGGCGGUCUUCGGGUUGUAAUCUCCUUGCGCUAGUGACGAAGCUUUUUGUGACGGUACCUAGAUAAGAAGCACCGGCUAACUACGUG